GUUUUUAUUCAUCCCCGCACGCCCCUCCACGAUCCCUACCCAGGUCGCUGUACACCACCGCCGCCGCCGCGAAUCCCCGAGGACGCCGCACGCCGCCGCCGUCGCGAAUCCCCAGGGAUGCCGCACGCCACCGCCGUCGCGAAUCACGAGAGACGCCGCUCGCCGCCGCCUCGGAUCCCCAAGGGCGUGGUCGCAUUGCCCUGAUUGGAGGAGACCCUGUCGGCCUUGCCUUGUUUGGAGGAUGAACACAGGUAUUUCGAGGCCCAUGUGUGUCAAUCCCGACCUCCGCUUUCCCCUUUUCCCAUCGAGGGCCACCGCCGCUGCUUCGUCUUCUAUCUCUCCGGAUCCCCAUCGGCACCUGCUGGAUGGUGCUCCGGGAACAGGGCCGCACGGAGGCCCUCCUCCCAUAGGAUGUGCAGAUGCGGCGCGCCUUGCAGUGGCUGUUCGGGAUGAGCGCGGGCGCGACAACCUUGUCCCAGUCGAUGAUGGCAGCGGCGAACGCCGAUGCUCCUUCUCGUCCUCUACCUCCAAGGACGCGCACCGGUACAGCUUAGGCACCCCCGUCCCCAAAUCCCGUCCACCCAUCCGGCGUUGUCCAGCUCAUCCUCACGCUCGUGGAUUCGCCUCCUCCUGUACGCGACACUUGAAACGUGGACGUGGUGAGCUUCCCCUCUCUCUACCCCCAAAUCUGGAUGGCACGAGCAUCUGUUACAUACAUACAUAUGGAUAAGCAUCUUGGUUUGGUUCUUUGGUUCAGUUUGUAUUCAAUCUGUAUGCGUCUGGAUGUAAAUGGCACUUGCAGUAUAUGGCCGCUCCUUGGUUGUCCAUUUGUAUGUGUCCAUCAGUAAUAAACGGCCGCUCCUUGAUUGUUAUUUUGAACAAAACUCCCCCUUAAUUCUUCCUGUACUGAAAUGAAUCCUUGGAAGUUAGCACCACAUGUCUGUUGUUGCUGUCGUCUUGUACUACAUGGCUUUUUUCAAUUUAAUGUCAGUCAAGUUUAUGUGAAUAUAAUCUCCUUUGAUCUGAUGUUUUGGUCUGAAUAUUUAUAUUUUAAUUAUCAUGUACGUACUAAUGCAUUCUCAAAUAUUUGGUCGGUGUUAUCUUCUAAAAUAAUAGUAAAUGUAAUCCUUAAAUAGAAGUAGAAGAAGCAUGUCCGCAAACAGAAUUGUACAUUUUCAUUCCUUUAUAGAAGUGUAAUAGAUUAUUUCUUAAAAACACAAAGAUUUCAAGUAUAGCAUCAGAACAAAGAUACAAACUGCAAUUUCAACAUCCGGUAAAUGACAUAUAUAGCGACUUGGGCGUGUCAAAUGUUGAUGUACAAACAGAAUACAUUGGAUUAAUUAUCUACUUUUUAGAACAGUUCGGAAUACAUAUUAGAAGAGCAAAUUAUGUUAUGUUCCCGGCCCAUUUCUUUCUGCUAUCUUGCUGCUGCAAGACCUGGGAGUUUUAGUGGCUAAUAUAAUUUUGACAAUUUUGCUGCAAUAUCUUCAGUUUCUCUAUUGAUUCGGACAAUUUUGCUGCUCCAAUAGUCUGAAGCAGAACCUCCGUCUUCUAUCUCAACGUCGGCGGCCCGCCGACGCCGACUCCUUAUCGACGCCCGUCGGCGGCCCGGUGACGCGACCAGAUCACUGCAAAUUGCUCCAUUCAUGUCAGCAGCCUAAUCAGGUGGAGGUGGUCGUGCUGGCGCCACUGUUUCGCUUCAUGCUGAUGCAGUAUAAAAGUGCCUCCUCGGCAGAUGAGGACCUGAGCAUGGUCGUGCUAAUGAGGAUGCAAGAUCCACCGCCACCGGCCAGUCUGAGUGCGUUGUUGUUUUCAUUCUUUGGGUCCUAGGGAUUUCGAAAUCAGGUGAUUGCAGAGAACUUCGCAGGCAGAUCAAUUACGAGGAGGUCAAGGCUGAGCUGGAGUGGGGUGGGCGCCAACAUGAAGGAGCUGGAGAUAUCUCUAUUUUUGUCGGUCAUUAUUCAGGCUCUAAAGCUUCCCCUUUUCCUAUACCACAUUACUUGAUAUUAUUAAAUUCAGUAAGCUUACUCAACUGUGAACAAGUUCAUGUGGUAAGUAGGAUCAACAAGAGUUGGCUGGCAACUUCUAUGUAUAUGUUAUUAUGGAUCAGCCAAGGUGGUUAAAUUUUCAUUUUUUUCCUUUUUCUUAAUUUAAGCCCUUAAGUUUAUGUUGUUAAAUGCAUACACAUAACUUAGUUCCAGAUUUAACAAGAGUGCAUUUUACAACGAACUUCAUAGCUGAUGUUGAUCAUAAUUAGUAAGUGUACAAAGCAUUUCAAGGAAUUUCUGUUUUGUGCAUAUUGUAUAUUGCAGACUUGCAGUGAAGUAGUGCCAUCUAAGUACCAGAUGUAUGUUAUUUUCAGAUAAGCUUUACUUAAAAUGGAAAAUACUAAAAAAGCAAAUUGUGCCACACCGUGCAAUUAAGGUGCCUUUUACUGGAAACUCAAUGCAACUUCUUGUUAUUUUCAAAUAAGCUUUUCUUAAAAUGGAAAACACUAAAAAGCGGAUUGUGCCACACCGUGCAAUUAAGGUGCCUUUUACUGGAAACUCAAUGCAACUUCUUGUUAUUCCUUCUGAACCUAGCAAUUAAGCCAUAUCUUGUUUUCACUCCUUCUGAACCUAGCAAAAUGACCUGCUUGGACCGAACGAGGACAGGUGUGUGGUGGUGGACAUAAGAUGCAUGGCGAACAUUGAGCUACAAAAGAACAUUAUGAAAGAGGUUGGAGAGGCUGGAGGAGACCAUAUACCAACACAAAGCGCAUCUUGAUGGCCAUCAAUGAGGAGCUGAACCUGCUACACCAGGCUAAUUGCAAGCAUCGGGAUGAUUUGGACGAGAGGGCUGUAGCACGACGCAAUGAAGAGCCAGAUCGUCCGUCCGCUCCCAGCUCACUUCCCGGUUCUGUUGUGCUGCCCCGUGCACCAACCAUCCAGUAAAGGUUCUGAGGUUAACAUCUCUUUUGCGAGUUUCGUAUAACUUUUGUUGUCACUUUAUUAUCUAUUGAUCCACAUGUUUGUAUUUUAGCAGACAUGAGUUACUUUAUCAUCUUUCCAGGAAGAAAUUGCUAGAGAGAAGAAAACUCAGUUUUACAAGUAGUGACAGUCCAACAUCAUAUUGACAAGUCUGGUUUCUCUUUCCAUAUACAUAAGUGUAUAAUUUGUUUUAAGUAACUGUUUCCUCGGUCCUUAUUGCCACGGUUUUCUCAAGUGCAACCGCGAGCUUAGUAAUAGCAAGAUAGAAAUUUGAGAUGGCAAAACUGUACGUCCAAUACAAUUUCUAACCUGUGCUUGACUACUUGUUGCUUCUUGCAGUUUGGUUCUUUAAAUAACAAGAAGAGAUGGCAAAACUCUACUCACAAGAAGUUGUGUAAUUUGGAAAGAUAGCUGAUCGAAAUAAACUGUCAUUGUCAUAAAUUUUGUACUGUACAUCAUACGAUUGGCCUGACCAUCUUCUUCGUCAGUGUCGGAUGUUCGACAUCAAUCUCCAUCUUUUCAUUUUCAGAAUCGCACGUGGGGUUAGUAAAGACUUCUUCAUAUUUGCUUUUGUUGCCACUGCUGCAGGAGAGUUGCCACCUGAUAGCGAUGUUGUCCCUUCAGAAUUGUUUUAAGUUCUUUUUUGCUGGUAUAAGUGCGGACUUUUGCAUUAAGCAUGACAUGGAAUUUGUUUUAUGUAAAUAUUGAUGCUUCACAAUGAAUUCAUGUUGUGAAGGGUGAUGAUUUACCUUCAGUACAAUCUAUUAUAAGUUGUAGUUUAUUUUGUUUUCAUGUGUUAUUUGCAGAGAAUAUAUGGUUCGUAUUUAUCAGGCUUAUUUCAUAUAGCUUUUUUUGGUAGCAUAUUUGUAACAGAAACGCAUUAGCCACCCUGUUCAUGAUUCAUAACACAUGCGUUUUAGUGGGAUGGAGGUAAUAUUGAGAGAGACAGACCCAUCGGGCUAAGGAAUAGAAAUAGUAUAUCUUUUGAGUCUACCAUCUUCUAUGCCAAGCAGGGUCGAGUGGGGUGAUAUACUAGGCGCUUUUCUUCUAAAUUGUACAGAAAGUCCACUGAGUUAUUGUUGUUUGUAUGCCACCUUAGAGCGAAAUAGUACUUCUUUUAAUCAUUUUUAGGUGAAAUACAAGCAUGUAGCUACCUCACUUAAUUAUUGUACUCACUUGAAGUUUAUGUUGAUAUAAUGCACUAUUUAAGUAGUAGAGAAACCUCACAAAUUUAAAUUGAUGAAUGAUAUUUAGGAAAAGAAGUAGGCAUGUUUCAUUAUAAAGGGAAAGUAUUUUUCAAGGCAUAGUGUUUAAUUCACGAAUGGUUAAACAGUUUAACAGGGACCAACACUGGGUAGCAGGGGAGUGGCAGUGCAUAGAGACAUAGUGAGGGGAGCGGGGGCGAUGAUGGAGGCGGAGAUGUUUAGAGAGAGAUAUAGAGAGUGGGAGGUUUACCAUGGUGCAAUUGAAAACUGAGGCACGCCUUGCUAAGACAAGCACACUUUAAAACAUAUCAAUACUCUGCAUUGUUUUGAUGUUGGUAUCAGGACCAGGUACCAUGUGAAGCUCAAGGAAUGGUUGUAAAUCAUUAUGGAUAAACUGAAAAAAGAUCAUUAUGGAGUACAUUAUAAACGACAUUUGGUGUCGGCGGCAUGUCACUACCACUGACAAAGUUCUCUAAAACACGAUUACUAUCAUGUACAAUGCUUUACAGUUCUCUCAUAUUCAAAUGCUAAAAUUCUGUAAUUUCACAUUUAGUAGUUUCUGCGGUGUGAAAUUCAUGUUUUAUUUUGCUUGAGCAGUUGAAAAUAAAUGCUGGCAAAGAUAUUAAAAUUCAAAUCUGGCUUAUUUUUCUCAAUAUGGGUUCAGAAGGAAAUUGUCGUUGAGCUUCUAUCUAAAGGUAUGUCAGAUUAACAGGUUGCUAUUGCAACUCUUGAUUUGGAGUAAUGCAAAGUAACUGUGGAUCUUGUCGUCGGUACAUCUUGGGUUGCCAUUCUUCUAGAACGAAGGAUUUUUUCCCUAGAUUGUGCUAUGAAAUAAUGCUUGUAUAACACCUUGAUCUCUUGGCUACACCAUGCUUUCUUGAGAACACUAUACUUGCAGAAGAAUGAUGCUUCUAUAGAAUGCCACCAUGAGUUCUGGCAGUUCUUUUAAUUCUGUGUUCACUAUGGACAAAUGAACCAUAUAAUUUGUCAAUUUAAUCAGUACUUGCUUUCAUGUUGCAAUCUCAGAUUUAGGCACUUAAUAGCCAUAGAAUAAUUUUGAAUUGUUAUGCUCAGUACACCAAAUGUUGUUCCUAGGUAAUGCACUGUUUGCAACUAAGUUUUGUCUUUAAGCACCAAGGUGUAGUAGUAUGCAAUGAAAUAAAUGGAUCAUUUCUAUCUUUCUGGUGCUCAUAAUAGACUUUUUCAUUUUGAAUUUGUAUGCUUGAAAUUUGAUUAUUUCUACCAACUGAGAGUGGAAAUGAACUGUACCGUAGGCACUUUUUCAUUAGAUUUCAGCAGCCUUGAUGGCUGAUGGCAGCAACCUCAUGGGCCACACAUCCCCUUCUUUAAUUGCAUGCCCUCAAAAAAUGUAUGGGGACUUGGUUCUUUGGUUGUCGCCGCCGGACUCAGUGAAGGACGAAAAAUUAUGAUGAUCCAGUGGAGAAUAGAUGCCACGGGCUGAAGAAAGGAGGCGACGGUUUCAGAGCACACACCUUGAAGCAGAGAGGCGGCAAGGGACUGCAUCUGGAUGGCAGAGGGAGCGGGACAAAGCAACAUCACAUGGGAGACAUGGUCAAAAUCGGCGCCGUAGGAGCAAUCGUGCGUGUGGGGGUCGUACCAGGGAGAAGGAAAAGGGUGGUCGGUUUUCUAGGGCUUUUUUCCUUGCAUCGGGAAAUGGGUUCGGUUGAAAAAAACGAUGAUGUGGGAAGGUCACGCGAGUGGUGGAUACGUGGGUACCAUUUAACGUACCAACUGCGGUUUAACAGUAGAGAUUAAGAUGUUGAUAUUUUAUUCAUUUUCUUCUUAGCUGAACAUUCAUUAAACCAAAAAUCUAUGAAACUUGUAAUGUAUCAUGGUCGCAAUUUGUGAAGUAGAACUAACUAUCCUUUGACCAAAUACCCUUUGAUCAUUCAUCAAUUUUUAUGUACUUGUCGCCCGUGACAACAAAUAUGGAUCAAAUAACUAUGCACUAUGGGCACUAAUAUGGUUACCUUCGAAUGAGUUUGUUACUGUGUUUAGUUACUAUGAUGUUUCAUAUGUUCAUCAAAAAAAUAAAGGCUUAUUUGCUUGCAUGUGCUUUCUCAUGUUUGUUUGUUUUUUCUUGUGGUUGUUCCUUUUCUAUAAUUGUCACAUAAAGUGAACCGAAACUCAUAUUCUAUAUUUCUGUUGUGUAGAUACCUGUGAGCCUGCUGUUGAACUCGCUAAAAAUGGAGAUAGACAUGGACUUAACGGUUCUCAUUCAUUUAAAUCUUAGUGAAUUGAUACCAGUUUCCAUUUGGAACUGAGAUAACGAGGAAUCGUUUCCUUCAUGAUACUGCGUGUAUGAGCUUUUUUCUUUUGGUGUAGGCCAAUAUUGUACAAAUUUAUUUCCUAAAAUUAUAUUUGAAGUUGUCUUCUAUGAGAGUAACCAUCUCAAUAUUUUUUC